GACGAACGCUGGCGGCGUGCUUAACACAUGCAAGUCGAACGGAAAGUGCCCAGCUUGCUGGGUGACUCGAGUGGCGAACGGGUGAGUAACACGUGGGUGAUCUGCCCUGCACUUUGGGAUAAGCCUGGGAAACUGGGUCUAAUACCGAAUACAUCCUGCUGGUCGCAUGGCCUGGUGGGGGAAAGCUUUUGCGGGGUGGGAUGGGCCCGCGGCCUAUCAGCUUGUUGGUGGGGGGAUGGCCUACCAAGGCGACGACGGGUAGCCGGCCUGAGGGGGUGUCCGGCCACACUGGGACUGAGAUACGGCCCAGACUCCUACGGGAGGCAGCAGUGGGGAAUAUUGCACAAUGGGCGCAAGCCUGAUGCAGCGACGCCGCGUGAGGGAUGACGGCCUUCGGGUUGUAAACCUCUUUCAAUAGGGACGAAGCGUGAGUGACGGUACCUAUAGAAGAAGCACCGGCCAACUACGUGCCAGCAGCCGCAGUAAGAC
rnacentral:rRNA from 1 species